rnacentral:rRNA from 1 species
GACGAACGCUGGCGGCGUGCUUAACACAUGCAAGUCGAACGGAAAGGCCCUGCUUGCAGGGUACUCGAGUGGCGAACGGGUGAGUAACACGUGGGUGAUCUGCCCUUCACUUCGGGAUAAGCCUGGGAAACUGGGUCUAAUACCGGAUAGUAGCCAUUUUUAGUGUGAUGGUUGGAAAGUUUUUUCGGUGUAGGAUGAGCUCGCGGCCUAUCAGCUUGUUGGUGGGGUAAUGGCCUACCAAGGCGGCGACGGGUAGCCGGCCUGAGAGGGUGGACGGCCACAUUGGGACUGAGAUAAGGCCCAGACUCCGACGGGAGGCAGCAGUGGGGAAGAUUGCACAAUGGGCGCAAGCCUGAUGCAGCGACGCCGCGUGGGGGAUGACGGCCUUCGGGUUGUAAACUCCUUGCGCUAGGGACGAAGCUUUUUGUGACGGUACCUAGAGAAGAAGCACCGGCUAACUACGUG